rnacentral:rRNA from 1 species
AACGAACGCUGGCGGCAUGCCUAACACAUGCAAGUCGAACGAGACCUUCGGGUCUAGUGGCGCACGGGUGCGUAACGCGUGGGAACCUGCCCUUAGGUUCGGAAUAACUCCCCGAAAGGGGUGCUAAUACCGGAUAAUGUCUUCGGACCAAAGAUUUAUCGCCUUUGGAUGGGCCCGCGUUGGAUUAGCUAGUUGGUAGGGUAAAAGCCUACCAAGGCGACGAUCCACAGCUGGUCUGAGAGGAUGAUCAGCCACACUGGGACUGAGACACGGCCCAGACUCCUACGGGAGGCAGCAGUGGGGAAUAUUGGUCAAUGGGCGAAAGCCUGAUCCAGCAAUGCCGCGUGAGUGAUGAAGGCCUUAGGGUUGUAAAGCUCUUUUACCCGGGAUGAUAAUGACAGUACCGGGAGAAUAAGCUCCGGCUAACUCCGUG